UGUUUCGGCUAGGGGGCCAUCCCGGCUUACCAACCCGAUGCAAACUGCGAAUACCGGAGAAUGUUAUCACGGGAGACACACGGCGGGUGCUAACGUCCGUCGUGAAGAGGGAAACAACCCAGACCGCCAGCUAAGGUCCCAAAGUCAUGGUUAAGUGGGAAACGAUGUGGGAAGGCCCAGACAGCCAGGAUGUUGGCUUAGAAGCAGCCAUCAUUUAAAGAAAGCGUAAUAGCUCACUGGUCGAGUCGGCCUGCGCGGAAGAUGUAACGGGGCUAAACCAUGCACCGAAGCUGCGGCAGCGAACGUAUCACUUAAAGCGAUUCAGCGGGUUACGAUUGACGGAGCGAAGCGACGUCAAAGCGUAUACAAAGUCGAGUCGGUUUAAGGAUACGUUCGUUGGGUAGGGGAGCGUUCUGUAAGCCUGUGAAGGUGGCCUGUGAGGGUUGCUGGAGGUAUCAGAAGUGCGAAUGCUGACAUAAGUAACGAUAAAGCGGGUGAAAAGCCCGCUCGCCGGAAGACCAAGGGUUCCUGUCCAACGUUAAUCGGGGCAGGGUGAGUCGACCCCUAAGGCGAGGCCGAAAGGCGUAGUCGAUGGGAAACGGGUUAAUAUUCCCGUACUUGGUGUUACUGCGAA
rnacentral:rRNA from 1 species